UACGGAGGGGGCUAGCGUUGUUCGGAAUCACUGGGCGUAAAGCGCGCGUAGGCGGCUUUUCAAGUCAGGGGUGAAAUCCCAGAGCUUAACUCUGGAAUUGCCUUUGAAACUGAGAAGCUGGAGUGUCGGAGGGGAUAGCGGAAUUGCUAAUGUAGAGGUGAAAUUCGUAGAUAUUAGCAGGAACACCGGUGGCGAAGGCGGCUAUCUGGACGACAACUGACGCUGAGGCGCGAAAGCGUGGGGAGCAAACAGG
rnacentral:rRNA from 1 species